rnacentral:tRNA from 1 species
GCCCUCGUAGCUCAGGGGAUAGAGCUGGGGCUUCCUAAGCCCUGAGUCGGGGGUUCGAAUCCCUCCGAGGGCGCCA